rnacentral:rRNA from 1 species
GCCUGCUCAAUGUUUUAAUAAAUAGCCGCAGUAUUUUGACUGUGCGAAGGUAGCAUGAUAAUUAGGCUAUUAAUUGUAGUCUUGAAUGAAUGGUUAGACAUAAAACCUUCUGUUUCAUUAAUAUAAAUGAACUUUAAUAGUUAGUAAAAAUGCUAAUAUAGAAUAUGAGGACGAGAAGACCCUAUUGAGUUUAAUAUGAUCGUUUUAGAUAUAAUAGUGUAAAUUGAAAUGGAUAUAUUUGGUUGGGGCGACCUUAUUAUAAAACAAUAAAAAUGGGUGAUUUGUUGAUCCAUUAUUAAUGAUUAAUAGAAUAAAUUACCAUAGGGAUAACAGCAUAAUUUUGUCGUGGUGUUCAUAUCUAUGGUAAAGUUUGUGACCUCGAUGUUGAAUUAAGAUUCCUAAUAGGCGCAGGAGCUUAUUAAGGUAGACUGUUCGUCUAUUAAAUUCUUACAUGAUCUGAG